rnacentral:rRNA from 1 species
UACGGGGGGGGCAAGCGUUGUUCGGCCUUCCUUUUCUUCCCUUUCUCUUAUUUUUCCAACUAAUUCUUACUUUAAAUCCCUCGGCUUAACCGGGGAACUGCGUCUGAUACUGGAUGGCUUGAGUUCGGGAGAGGGAUGCGGAAUUCCAGGUGUAGCGGUGAAAUGCGUAGAUAUCUGGAGGAACACCGGUGGCGAAGGCGGCAUCCUGGACCGAGAUUGACACUAAAGCGCGAAAGCCAGGGGAGCAAACGGG